CCAAUCCCAUCCGGCAGAGCGUGGCCCGCAGCCGGAAGCGAGUCUUGCGUGCCGCGGUGGGGCGACCCACACCACGAAGCGUAGACCGCGAGCACUGGGGCCCGGCGAUGGAGCCCCGAAAGGGUUUAUGUCGUGGGGAGCCUUCCUCGUAUUGGGCCGGGGGGGCCGCGCCAAUCCGUCGUCAUGGCCAGACGGAUCGGUCCCGCCGGGGUCAGAGACUC
rfam:Fimbriiglobus ruber strain SP5 contig17, whole genome shotgun sequence.